CAAAGUGGCCCUUUGGCUUUGGGGCCACUCCCAGAGCCUGCUGUCUCCAUCACAGGGCAGGAGGCCCGAGCAAACUGAGAUGGCAGCCACCAAGCCACCUGUCCUACGGCCCAGCUCUCAAGCCCCAGGGCCACGGCUUCCACAAGACAGAGCACCCAGAACCAGCCAAGGCUCAGAUCAUCUGUUCUGGAAAGAUUUGGCUGCCCAGAGAGAAGUACUGAGGGCCCCAUCUCAGCCUCCCUCCACAGGCAUAGGACCUCAGCUCAGAAGCCCUCAAGUUCCGUAAGGGGUAUAGAACAGAGGGAGUUCCUGUACAACCCGCACAGAGCCAUGGACAACGAAGAAACGGUCCUCGUCCUCGCUCCAGCUGAGCCCUAAGUGGGUGAGCCAGGCUGGGUGGUAGCGC